GGGGUCUGUAGCAGUAAGUGACUGCGUUCUUUUAUGUCGCCUCCUAUAUGAUAGGGUAAUCCACAGUUGGCAAAUGAAACAAAAGGACCUCGUUCAAACAUGAUAAUGUGUGCCUCUUCGCUUAAACGACGAGCCCGGGCCGCGGCCGAAGCUCCGCCUGCAACCCCAC
rnacentral:antisense_RNA from 1 species